GGCCGGGCAGGGCUGGAUCGGGGGGGAGCCUCCGGUUCACUCGCUGUGGAUCGUCCUGCCAAGGCCGGAGCUGGCGGCGCCGUCAUGAGGCCAAGCGCCCCAGCCGCCGCCGCUGCCGCUGGGGCAGUACUUGGAAAUUGAUCUUGGACAUGAUUGUCAUCUGCUUCAUCAGCGCACAUAAAUUAUUUUCUUCUCCUUUUGGAUAAUUUUUUUUAUACUACGAUGCAACAGACUUUAGAAUUAGCUUUGGAUCGUGCAGAGUAUGUCAUUGAAAGUGCCCGUCAGAGACCUCCUAAACGGAAAUAUUUAUCUAGUGGAAGGAAAUCUGUAUUUCAGAAACUAUAUGAUUUAUAUAUAGAAGAAUGUGAGAAAGAGCCUGAGAUAAAGCAGAAGCUGAGACGAAAUGUGAACUUGUUAGAGAAACUUGUUAUGCAGGAAACGCUCUCCUGUCUGGUAGUCAAUCUAUACCCAGGAAAUGAGGGCUAUUCUCUGAUGCUCAGGGGAAAGAAUGGUUCAGAUUCUGAAACCAUUCGCUUGCCUUAUGAAGAAGGAGAAUUGCUUGAAUAUUUGGAUGCUGAAGAAUUACCACCUAUUUUGGUUGAUCUCCUUGAAAAAUCUCAGGUUAAUAUUUUUCAUUGUGGGUGUGUCAUAGCAGAAAUACGUGACUACAGGCAAUCUGGGAAUAUGAAAUCGCCAGGUUACCAAAGUAGACAUAUUCUCUUACGUCCAACAAUGCAGACUUUAAUCUGUGAUGUUCAUUCUAUAACAAGUGAUAACCAUAAAUGGACACAAGAAGACAAACUACUUCUUGAGAGCCAGCUUAUCUUAGCCACAGCAGAACCAUUGUGUCUUGAUCCUUCUAUAGCUGUGACCUGUACUGCAAACAGAUUGCUCUAUAAUAAACAGAAGAUGAAUACUAGACCAAUGAAGCGAUGUUUCAAGAGGUACUCCAGAUCUUCCCUGAAUCGGCAGCAGGACAUAUCCCACUCUACAGCUCCUCCACAGCUAAGAUUGCUCGAUUACUUGCAAAAAAGAAAAGAGAGAAAAACAGCCCAGCAGUAUGACCUCAAAAUUUCUAAAGCUGGAAAUUGUGUGGAUAUGUGGAAACAGAAUCCCUGUUAUUUGACUACACCUUCAGAAGUGGAUGUGGAAAAGUAUGCUAAAGUGGAAAAGUCUAUCAAAUCUGAUGACUCACAGCCAACUGUCUGGCCAGCACAUGAGAUAAAAGAAGAUUAUGUGUUUGAAUGUGAAGUUGGUAAUCAGUUUCAGAAAACAAAGCUAACCAUUUUUCAGUCACUUGGUAAUCCACUUUACUAUGGUAAAAUACAGACUUAUAGAAGUGACGAAGAAACUGAGAGCCCAAUGACACCAACUCAGUUCCUUAUUGGAUCAAAGACUGAUGCUGAAAGAAUAAUUAAUCAAUAUCAAGAGUUGAUUCAGAAUGAAGCUAAAUGUCCAGUGAAGAUGUCUCAUUCAAGUGGAUCUGGCAAUCUUAGUCAACUUUCUCCAGGGAAAGAAAUGGAAUUAUCGACCAGCCAAGAUGGCGGAGUAGAAGGAAGUAGUACAGCUGAUCUGUCCCCUACAACUACUCCACAAAGAUCUAGAAAACGCAUCAGACCAAGUCCUGAUCGGGAAAUUCAAGAAAAAAUCACACCCGAGAGCCUAUUGGUUCAGCCAUCAGUAUUGGGAAAGGGAGUAAAACAUCGGCCUCCACCCAUUAAACUUCCUUCAAGUUCGGGAAGUAGCUCUUCAGGUAAUAUUUUUAGUCCACAGCAGUCAGGCAGCCAUCAUAAGUCCCCAACUCCUCCUCCCACUUCUAAGCCACCUGGUCUUUCUCGGAAACCUUCCAUGGAUCUUAAUCAAGUUAGCAUGCUUUCUCCAGCUGCUCUGUCACCUGCCAGCUCAUCACAAAGAUCUGGAACUCCUAAGCCAUCUACUCCUACACCAACCCCUUCAUCGACCCCACACCCUCCUGAUGCUCAGAGCUCAACUCCUAUUACCCCUUGUGCCACCCCUACUCCCCAAGAUUCAGGCUUCACCCCUCAGCCCACUUUGUUAACCCCGUUUGCUCAGCAGCAAAUGUCUCUGAGCCAGGCAAUGCCUGUAAUGACCAUUCCUCUUUCCACCAUGGUAACAUCUAUAACUACAGGAACCACGUCCACCCAAGUCAUGGCAAACCCUGCUGGACUUAACUUCAUCAAUGUAGUGGGCUCUGUAUGUGGAGCACAAGCCUUGAUGAGCAGUUCAAAUUCCAUGCUCGGGUGUAAUACUGGUGCCAUAACCCCUGCAGGUUUAAAUUUGAGUGGCAUUUUACCCUCAGGAGGUCUGGUACCAGGUGCAUUGCCAGCUGCAAUGCAGUCAGCCUCUCAGUCAGGUGUCCCUUUUGGUUUAAAAAAUACUUCAGGUCUCAGGCCCUUAAACCUACUCCAGAUUCCAGGUGGUUCACUCAUUUUCAAUCCACUCCAGCAACAGCAGCAGCAGCAGCAGCAGCAGCAGCAACAGCAGCUCUCUCCCUUUUCUCCACAGCAACAGUCUCAGCCCUCUACAACUUCUAGUCCUCAGCGGCCAGGAGAACAGAGUUCUGAACCAGGUACAGUCAGUCAAGACCAGGCUUUGUCUGCCCAGCAAGCUGCUGUUAUUAACCUGACUGGAGUUGGGAGCUUUAUGCAGUCCCAGGCAGCUGUAGCUGAAGAUGUCUUAUCAGCAACACAUGCUUGAUUAUUCAAUUACCAGUCAGUUUACUUACCAGUUGGAAUCCUAUUACUAAGUACUUUGUGAAUAAAGUUAAAAGCACAAAUAAUUCAAGAAGCCUCUAUGGCUUACUACAACCUCCAGAAUAAAGUAGAAACGCAGCUUUUCAUUUGAAUUCCUUCAAAGCCUACUUGCUGAAUCAAAUUUACAAAGGUAACAAAAUUCUAACACAGGAAACUGGGUAAAUGCAAGUGCCACUGACAAAAAUAGGAAGUGCAAGUAUAAUAGAGUAUGCUCUGUGUUAAACACAGACUUAAGAGCCGAUAAGACAUGUCAGGGGAAAUGUCUUCAGUUGGAUAUAGGGAUGCAGGGAUGCAAAUUUGGGAAUCAUAUGCAUAUGAAUGACAUGUAACUGAAAUCUGAGGAAUGAAUUUGUGAUUUCCAGAGGAAAUCUGAGUGGAAUGAGCCAGAGAUAGAACACUGGAGAACAUUCCAUUAAGAUGUCAAGUAAAGGACAAAGAGCUAGUGGAAAAAACAGGAGCAAUAAAAGAUACCGUCAAGUGUGUUUUCUUUGAAGUUAAAGGAGAAAACAUCCAGUAGUAAGCUGAUAGGUAUCAAUAACAAAUUACAAACAAUUUGGAGUUAUGAAUCUUGAGAUUGAAGUGAUUCUAUUUUUUAAUAUAAAAGGAAUUUGAAAUAGCUUUACCUAACUACUUUAAAAAAUGCUACAGGAAUCAUUAUCCAGUACUUCAUAUUUCAAUACAGAAUCAUUUUAGUACUUCAAGAAUGUAUAAUUUCAGUGUUUUAAGUAUGCCCUCCACCAAUGCAAUAGUUUGUUUCUUUUUGUCUUCUUAACAUUAGUUGUCCCAGGCAGCUAGGUGGUGCAGUAGAUAGAGCACCAACCCUAAGUCAGGAGGAUCUGAGUUCAAAUCUGGCCUCAGACACUAAUACUUCCUAGCUGCAUGGCCCUGGGCAAGUUACUUAAUCCCAAUUGCCUUAACCCCCUCCCCAACUUCCCCCCCAAAAAAGGGAUAACUAAUCUCUUCCACAUGGCAAUUUUCCCCAUUGCAGUUUCAGUAUAUCAAGGGUCAGCCUAAAAAAAAAAAAAAAAAAAAAACUGGGAAUUUUGAGAGGGGUUUCCAAAAGCUACAGACAAUAGAUGAAAGCCAGGAGACAACACAAACUAGAGUCUAGGAUGAAAUACUUAAGCCCAAAUUUUGCCUUAAGUCAUAGUAAACAUCCCAUAAAAGGAAAAAAAAAAUCUGGUAUGAACAAAGAACCAAAAAGAUUUACAUGGAUUUUCUAGAUUAUAGGGAGAUAAUCAAUGUGGAAGGGAUAACCAUG